GAGCCGAGGCCAACCCGCUCGGCCCCACCCCUCGGAACAAGGCCCGCCCGCCGGCCGCAGCCCGGCUCCUGUUCUAGGCCUGCUUCUCGCGGGGCCUGCUCCUGGGAGGCGAAGCGCCACACUGAGGACGCGGAGGUGGUUUCCGACCGCAGCGCCCGGGGCUCCUCCUCCCGCGCUACCCAGGGAGGCGGGCUGUGCUCUUUUCAAGGUCCCGCCAAAGGGCCCCGCCAUCGCGGAGGGAGACCUUCACAGCCUUCCCUCCUACACUAGGCCGGGAACCGCCAGACCGGAAGCUGCGGGGUCUCAGGGCCCCGGCUCGUUCUCGCCUAGCAGCAAGCCGCGGGUGCGCAUGCUCCGCGAAGGCCCGCACAGAGCCCGGGUGAACCCUGAUAGAGCCAUCACGAGGCGGGGUUAUUGCUGGAAUGGUGGUGGUUUGGGGAACUCUUUUUUGGUGAGAUGGUGAAGUGGGAAGGUGCACCGCGUUUCCAGUGGGCUCCCACUUGGUGCUGGCUUGGCUUCUUGGAAAGAGAGUGAAAAGUCAGAGCCUCAGAGCUGCCACUGAACUCCACAGCCUUCACCUUGCCUCUUCCUGUUUGGAGGACCCAGAUCCAGUUAGCGCAGUCCUGCUUCCCAACUAGGAGCCCGUCCGCUGAGAGGAAGUCUUGUGAUUACAUUGGACCCUCCCAGAUACUCCAGGACAAUCUCCUCAUCUCAAGAUCCGUAACAUGAUCACAUCAGCCGAGUCCUUUGCCUGUGAGGUGAAAAGCGGGGUGACAUUUUUUUGUGUGGGGGGGAGUGACAUUCUUAAUCCUCUCGCGGUUUCACUGAAGCAUCGAGUGGAACCCUCACUCCUGCCGAGGAGCCGUCUGGUCCUGACGUCUUGUCUGGGGGACUGAGCCCCAGGAACCAGGGUACGCUGGCUGGGUUAAGGGCCUUUCCAUUCUGCCUGCCCUCUCAGCAGCCCUUGGCCAGGCACCAGCUAUGACCUCAGUUCAGACUGGCCCCUUGGUUCCCUGAGCGCCGCCCCCCGCCCCCUCCCCAGCCUGCUCCAGAUCCAGUCUCUGGCCUCAUCCACAUUCCCAGAUCACUCCUCACGACUUGGUCCCUUCUCUGUCAUGGCCCCCACUACCUGCCCCAGAGGCACUCUGGGCUCCAGCCUGCCGGCUCAGGCCCAGCCGCCACCCAGCCCUCUCCACACGUGUGAAAACCACAUGCAUGGGCUCUCUCCAGCUCUCCAGAGAAAAGUCCAACUACAAGACCCGGAGCUGAAGAAGGGGAACGCGCACAAUUGUACAGGCCAGUGCUGGGGGGGUCCGAUGGGAUGAUGGGCCUCCCGGAUGCUUUAUAAGGCCAAACUCCCCAGCACAGUCAGCACCACAUCUGGAAUUAAGCUGGAAAUUCCAAUUGCUCUCUGCUGCUGAAAAAAAAUGUGUCAAAUUUUCCCAGAGAUUUUGUGGAAAUGGGAAGCCCUGCAGGGAUGGGGGUAGGGGUGGAAUGCUCACUCCACGGGACCCCAGAGCUUUGGGGAAAUCCAGAUGUCACAAUGUGUCCACAGUCCUUGGCUGAUGGCUCCCCCAGCCUCCCUCAGCUGUGCUCCCUGCCCCGUGAAAAUUAAAGACGCCUGGAGCAGGAGGGGUAUUUUGCUUCUCCCUAGGACCCACAAGUCCGUCCAGUUCUGGAAGUCAGAAGUCCAAAAUCAGCCUCACUGGUGUUGAUGCCACAGUUUGGUCAUGUGCUGCCCUACCUCCUAAGGCGGUGCCCAGGGUUCACAUUAUCCUUUCCAUGGCAGAGAUGCUAAGAGAAAGAUCUGGAUCUGAGUUUCAGCUCUGCCUCUUCUGAGCCAUGUGACCUUUUUGAGCUCCCAUGUCCUCAUCAGCAAAAUGGAGGGACUGUGAGACCCUUAGAAGCAGAGUUAUGGCCUGAUCAACCGUGGACACUCAGCACCCAGCACAGCGGGAUGGCUGGAGCUCUAGAACAUUCUCCCUCCCCACAGCCUUGGUAUCAACACCUGACCAGGAGCUCUGAACACCAUUGGCCAUGUUUUGGGGUUUAUUACCUGGUUCCCUCACUAGAAUGUUGUUUCUUGAGGGCAGGAGCCCUGCUUCUUUGGGUCACCCCUCUUUCUUCAGUGAUUGGCCCAUAGAAGGCGCCGAGUAACUAUUUGUGGAAAAUGACAGGCGUGAGUCCAUGCUCCUCACAGGACCUCUACCUCAGGUUGUACCGGUUCACUUUCCUAUGGGACGCACCCCUCUGUGCUUUGGCAACGCUGGGUGGUGGAGAGAGAACUAGAGUCGUGUCUUGGAGUCCCAGGUCCUGUCCCAUCUUUCACACCUUGCCAGCCUCAGGCAGGCCUCUUUACCCCUCUGAGCCUUGGAUGCCCCGUGUGAAGAAGAAGAGCGUGGUCCCUGCCCUGUAUCCUCCCCGGAAGGCCACAAGGAUGGGCUGGAAGGAAACCUCCAUAGAGGAGCUUCCGAGAGGGCUUGGUGCCCCACACCAGGGGCUGGGAGCCCCAGCGGGACCUGAACAAGUUGUGCACUGACCACCAAGCCCAGCACAGCAACUGCCCCUCCCGCCCUCCCUCUGCUCGGCUGGCCACAGCUCCCCCUGGACUCUGGGGCAUUUCUGAGAAGUUGAGGGGGGGCAGCUGUGUGGUGGCAGGAAGGGCCAGGCCCAGCCCGGGAGCACUGGGGGCUGCUGGCUUCAGCCUCCAGCCAGGCUCCAAAAGGCAGUCACAUAGGGUGGGUGGAGGGGGUGCACCCGAACCCCUGGAACUUUCUAUGGGUCUCAGAAUGUGCAGCAAAUAUGGUAAAGCACUGCUCUGGGGUUCCCUGUUACUUUUGUUCUCAUUCAUACAAUUUGAUGAGUAUGCAUUGAUGGGAGACACCAAAAACUUUG